CAGCACGUAGCCGGCGCUGUUGCGGUAGUCGGCGUUGGCGUCGCCGACUACUGUGCCUGAAGCAUCCGUGGUGCCAUCCGCCGUCUUGA
rnacentral:tRNA from 1 species